CUACGGGAGGCAGCAGUGGGGAAUAUUGGACAAUGGGGGAAACCCUGAUCCAGCAAUGCCGCGUGUGUGAAGAAGGCCUGCGGGUUGUAAAGCACUUUCGGUUGGGAGGACUGCUUCUAGCACUAAUAUUGUUGGAAGUUGACGUUACCUUCAGAAGAAGCACCGGCUAACUCCGUGCCAGCAGCCGCGGCAAUACGGAGGGGUGCAAGCGUUAAUCGGAAUUACUGGGCGUAAAGCGCGCGUAGGCGGCUAGAUCAGUCGGGUGUGAAAGCCCCGGGCUUAACCUGGGGACUGCAUCCUAAACUGUCUAGCUUGAGUACAGGAGAGGAGAGUUGAAUUCCACAUGUAGCGGUGAAAUGCGUAGAUAUGUGGAGGAACACCAAUGGCGAAGGCAGCUCUCUGGCCUGAUACUGACGCUGAGGUGCGAAAGCGUGGGGAGCAAACAGGAUUAGAUACCCCUGUAGUC
rnacentral:rRNA from 1 species